rnacentral:lncRNA from 1 species
UUUCCGAAAGAUUUCAUAAUUUUUAUGAAAGAGUAUUAUAAUUUUUAUGAAGGGAUGUCGUAAUUUUAUCAAAGAGAUGUGUCAUGAUUUUUACGAAAGAAUAUCAUAAUUCUAUGAAGGAAUAUCAUGAUUUUUUUCAGAAGAAAAGAAGUAUCAUAAUUUUUUUGUGAAGAGAUAUUAUAAAUUUUAAGGAGGAGUGUCAUAAUUUUUAAGAACAUCAUUUUCAUCGUUCAAAAUUUUAAAUAAAAAAAUAGAAUUACGAAUAUUAAAUAUGCAUUAGAAAGUGAUAACUACGUGAUCUAAUAAGGCGAAGUGGUGCGCUCCAUGUCAGAUGUUCUAUACCAUGGGCAG